UAUAUGAGUUCAGCUUUUUUAGGUUCCAUGUAUAAAUGAGAUCAUACAGUAUCUUUCUGUGUCUGGCUUAUUUCACUUAGCAUAGGUUCCUUCAGGCUCAGCCAUGUUGUUACAAAUGGCACGAUUUCCUUCCCUUGCCUCCUUACCAUAACCAAAACCUGUUCUUUACCAUCUGGGCCCAGUCCCUGAACCUCAGUGUCUGUAACUAGUGUCCAGGGGCAGUAACCUGGAGAAUCCCACAGUGGCAUCUUUGUUGCUGCAGAAGCUCCUGUAGGGCCUAAGUCAUCCAUGACACAUAAUUCAGCACCCUGACUUUUCCUCCCUAAAACAAUGGAGGGGGUAAUCCUGUGUUAAAAUCUCUUACCAGCUCUGGAGCUUUGGCUAGCAUCUCAUGAUCCUGAGGUUACAAGCUUGAGAAGAGUCAAAACACCAAGAACAGUUGAGCAGAAAUUACAGACAGAUCCUGCAUCCUUGAUGACAUGAGUGAGCUGCCGAAUCACCUGAGAUCACUUUCCUUUGGAUUUCUUGUGGUGUAAAUGGAUGAGCAUUCUAUUACUUACAGAGGGAAGAAAUACUAACAGGGCUGUGGGAUUGAGCAAGGACUUUUUUAAUGAUGAAACGUCCUUUUACAAAUGGAAGAAACACAGCCUCCAAGAGCAGCCGUUCCCACCUUGCCAAAGCCUGCUGUGGACAUUGAGGGAGGCCUGUUCAGGUAGGCCCUUUCUAAUCAUAUGGAUCCUUAAAAGCAGAGAAUCUUUCCUACUUGUAGUCAGAGGAAGAUGUGACUAAAAAAGAAUGGUCAGAAAUAUGCAAUGCUGCUGGCUUUGAAGAUGGAUGAAGGGGGCCAUGAGCCAUGUGGGUGGCCUCAGCUGCAAAAGGCAAAGAGCAAGAUUCUUCCCUAGAGCCUCCAAAAAGGACCAUAGCCCUGCUAAUACCACUGAGAUUCAUGUUGGACAUCUAUCCUACUGAACCUUAAGGUAAUAAAAUUUGCAAUGUUUU